rnacentral:rRNA from 1 species
AUACGUAGGGAGCGAGCGUUGUCCGGAAUUACUGGGUGUAAAGGGAGCGUAGGCGGGAGUGCAAGUCAGAUGUGAAAUACAUGGGCUCAACCCAUGGGCUGCAUUUGAAACUGCAUUUCUUGAGUGAAGUAGAGGUAAGCGGAAUUCCUGGUGUAGCGGUGAAAUGCGUAGAUAUCAGGAGGAACACCGGUGGCGAAGGCGGCUUACUGGGCAUUUACUGACGCUGAGGCUCGAAAGCGUGGGGAGCAAACAGGAUUAGAUACCCUGGUAGUCCACGCUGUAAACGAUGAUUACUAGGUGUGGGGGGACUGACCCCUUCCGUGCCGCAGUUAACACAAUAAGUAAUCCACCUGGGGAGUACGGCCGCAAGGUUGAAACUCAAAGUAAUUGACGGGG